rnacentral:lncRNA from 10 species
GGCUGAGGCGUGAGAAUCGCUUAACCUGGGAGGUGGAGGUUGCAGUGAGCUGAGAUGGUGCCACUGCCCUCCAGCCUGGGCAACAGAGUGAGACUCUGUAUCAAAAAAAAAAAAAAAUUUUUUUUAACUGUAAAACGGCCUCAGGCAGGUCCUUCAAGACUAAUGCUUUAGGCCUCCACGUUCACUCACCCACCCACAGCAACUUCCCACCCUGCAAGCUCCAUUCAUAAUUCAUGCCCUGUAUAGGUGGGCUGUACUUUUUUUUUUUUUUUUUUUUUUUGAGAUGGAGUCUCGUUCUGUCCCCCAGGCUGGACUGCAGUGGUGAGAUCUCGGCUCACUGCAACCUCCGCCUCCCAGGUUCAAGCGAUUCUCCUCCCUCAGCCCCCUGAGUAGCUCGGAUUACAGGCGUGUGUCACCACACCUGGCUAAUUUUUUGUAUUUUUAGUAGAGAUGGGGUUUCACCAUGUUGGCCAGGCUGGUCUCGUACUCUUGACCUCAGGUGAUCCACCUGCCUCAGCCUCCCAAAGUGCUGGGAUUAUAGGAGUGAGCCACUGUGCCUGGCCCAGAAUUCUUACAACAAUGAAAAGACAACCCAAUUAACAAAUGGCCAAAGGACCUGAAUAUAUAGUUUCCCACAGAAGAUUUGAUUUCUGCCAUGAAUUCAAAGAUAUACAAAUGGCCGAUAGGGAUAGAUUCUCAACUUCAUCAGUCUCAGGGAAAUGCAAAUCAAGACCACUGUGACAGACCACUUCACACCCACUGGGAUGGCUAUUUAAAAAGACAGCUAACAAGUGUUGGUGACGACAUGGAGAAACUGGAACCCUCAUACUCUCUUGGCGACGAUGCAAAAUGGCCCAGCCACUUUGGAAAACACUCUGGGAGUUCUUAAUGUUCAACAUAGAGGUACCCUAUGACCCAGCAAUUCCACUCCUAGGUAUGUACCCAGGAGAACUGAAAACACAUGUCCACACAGAAGUAUACACAAAUGUUCAUAUCAACAUUAUUCCUAAUAGGCAAAAAUUGAAAGCCCAAAAUGUCCAUCAAUGAAUGAAAUACAGUCUAUUUAUACGAUGAAAUAUUGUCCAUAAAAAGGAACGAAGUACUGACGCAUGCUACAAUGAGGAUGCACCUUGAAAACACCAUCUUAAAGAAGCCAGUCACAAAGCACACAGAGUGUAUGUAAUUCUGUUCUUACGAAAUGCCCAGAAUAGGCACAUUUAGAGAGACAGAAAGAUUAGUGGCUGCCUGGGGCAAGGGAAGCUGAGGAGUGACACUAAGGAUUUGGGGUUUCUUUUGGUGGGAGGUGAAAUGUUCUAAAUGUGAUUGCAGUGAUGGUUGUACAACUCUGAAUUGUACACUUAACGGAUUUUAUGGGAUGUGAAUUAUAGCUCAGUAGA